rnacentral:lncRNA from 1 species
GAGAAACUGGGAUCAGGUUCUGGAGGCCAAGUGCCUGCCAAUUACCUGAACAAAGGCAGGACCUAGGAUCAGAGGACAGCAGCCACCAAGGUGUGUGUGACUACAGGAGGAAGGAAGAGCCAGCAGCAUUAGAAAGCAGAGCCCUAGGGAUUACGUGUCCUGUGGAGUUGGCGGGAAGCUGGUGGAUCCUGCUCAACCUGAUCUGGUGACCACAGGAGCUGUGCCAGCCCUGGCUCAGGACCACAGAUGACUUUGGCUUGGCACAGUGGAAAGAGCAGCAGAUUUGGAAUAUUGACACUUGGAUUGGAAUCCCGGAGGUGGCUCUAGUCAGCUGUGUGACUUUGCAAUGUCUUAGAAGUCUCAGUUUACUUAUGGUAAGAUGGGCUAAUAAAUGUACCUCAGAAGGUCAUGAGAAUGGAAGAAUAUUAUGAAAGGCAAGAUUUGGGCACCUAUGUGGCAUAUAACAGGGAUUAUAGAAACUAACAUGUCAAGCACCAGGCGUUGACUGAACCCCUACUGGAAUCUUCCAUGUUAAGAUGAUUGUCCCUGGUCACUGUUGCCCUAUCUUAAAUAAUCCAUUCCCCCAACAAACAUUUACUGAGAUGAAAUGUAUGUCAAGCAUCAAGAAUGUUCUGGAAUACAGACCAGAAUAAGAUGGGCCAUUGUCUUUGCAGAGCUCUCAAUCAAUAUGCAUGGAGAUACUUCUCCAGCUUCAUCUCCCAGAUUGAAAUACUGGAAACAAUCUGAAGGCCCGGCAAUAAGGGAUAGGUGAAGUAGCUGACAGUUGGUUCACACAAAGGAGCAUUAUUGGGUACCAAUACUGACAGCCUCUCACGAUGUGAUAUUAAUUGAAACAAGC